rnacentral:rRNA from 1 species
GUAGGUGGCAAGCGUUGUCCGGAAUUAUUGGGCGUAAAGCGCGCGCAGGUGGUUCUUUAAGUCUGAUGUGAAAGCCCCCGGCUCAACCGGGGAGGGUCAUUGGAAACUGGGGAACUUGAGUGCAGGAGAGGAAAGUGGAAUUCCACGUGUAGCGGUGAAGUGCGUAGAUAUGUGGAGGAACACCAGUGGCGAAGGCGACUUUCUGGCCUGUAACUGACACUGAGGCGCGAAAGCGUGGGGAGCAAACAGGAUUAGAUACCCUGGUAGUCCACGCCGUAAACGAUGAGUGCUAAGUGCUGGGGGGGUCUCCGCCCCCUCAGUGCUGCAGCUAACGCAUUAAGCACUCCGCCUGGGAGUACGGUCGCAAGACUG